UUACUAAUACUGUCAGCUAAGUGGCGCACGGGUGAUUAAUAUAUAGUUAACCUGCCCCAAAGAAGAGAAUAAUUGUUGGAAACGACUUGUAAUGCUCUAUAUGCCUUUAUCACAAAAGUGAGCAAGGGAAACAUUUAUGGCUUUGGGAUGGGACUGUACGGUAUCAGUUUGUUGGUGAGGUAAUGGCUCACCAAGACUAUGACGCCUAACUGGUUUGAGAGGAUGAUCAGUCACACUGGAACUGAGACACGGUCCAGACUCCUACGGGAGGCAUCAGUGGGGAAUAUUGCACAAUGGACGAAAGUCUGAUGCAUCAACGCCGCGUGGAGGAUGACACAUUUCGGUGCGUAAACUCCUUUUAUAUGAGAAGAUAAUGACGGUAUCAUAUGAAUAAGCACCGGCUAACUCCGUGCCAGCA
rnacentral:rRNA from 1 species